UACUACAGGAGCAGCAGUAAAGUCUCUGUGUGACUGUGUGCUUGAACUGCUGUAUUAAGAAGCUCAGAAACAGAAAAAAGCUCCUUAGGUGGCAGUCUUGGAAUGGUAUAGAUGUAAUAGGGAUUGGAGUUACUGGCAAUGAUGAAGAUAGUUAUGCUAGAAGCCCAAUUAAUGCCUUUUCGGUUUUAUCCUGCUUCUCUUCAGCCUCUGGGAUCAUGUCAGCAGGGAAGAAUGUGGCUGUGCAUCUGGAACACAGCUCCGGCUGCUCCGGUAGUGCCUGAGCCAGGCUGCAGUCCUGCUUUCCCUUUCUUGGUUGUGGACAUUCUUCAUGGGUGGUAAAAGGCAUGAAAUAUAUCAGUAGGAGAAUCUGCAGCAUUGCCUCUUGUGUGUGAGUAGUGUUUCUGGAAGCUAUCACGUACAAAAUCAACUUUAGUAAUGACGCUGUGUUUUAGCUCCUUCGUUACUUUGCUUGCAGAAAAAGAUUGGUCUCUCAGAAGUACAUCUGAAAGCCCACUGGGAACUAUUACUGUCCUGACUGCGCAUCUACAAAUGUAAACAAACACUUAUCUGGAAUCAGAAUACUUAAAAACCACAAUCUGUUUAUUGUUGGGGUAAAUUAACUGCUUUCUUACUUCCCUGAAGAAGAAAUUUUAUUUUCUCUGUUCCCAGAAAGCAGGAUGCUGUGGCUCAGCAGAUUAAAUAUUAUGUCCUAUUCAUUAAGGAGAGGUGUAGGUCUGAACAUCCUGCCCCUGCUCAGCAGAAAUGCACCUGGCUGCAACUGGAAAGCCAGAGCCUUCUUCCACCUGGGAUCCAAAGGAUGGUCUUGUCUCCAAGAAGAGUGCCAACUUCUGUCUGUAACGAGAACUAACUAGGGCUUAUUCUUUUCUUUGGCUGCCAAAAGGUGCAGCAAACCAAGGAUAGGGCAGCUACUGUAGAAGAGGAUUACCAAAGCAAGGGCAAUGGAUAUUCAGAGGCAAACUUCAAUGUCAGGAAUGAACCAGAAACCUGUGCUGAACCUCAACCCACCAUGUACAAUACCUUCCUCAGGACUCUGCUCUGGGGAACAGAGGACGAUGUUACCAAGGAGCUCUUUGUGAAUCGGCCCACGAAUCCACCAUUCCUGCAGUCAUUACUUCAAAAUAAAAUCUGAAAGAUGACCUCUGGAGGAAUCUAUGAUGGCAGAAGAUGUGCUACCAAAAUCAGUCAGAUGUUCAAUAUUGGGCAUGGAACAGUAGAUGGAUUUUUCAUGGCUGGUUUACGAUAUGGUGGCUGUUUGUACAGCUCUAGUAACUAAUUCUGUGCUAGUUUUUAAGGAGUAAUAAGAAUAUUGCUUCUAAAAGGGUGCUAAUAAAGGUGUAUUGUGGAUUUAAAGUGGCCAUUAAGCUGUGAAAAUUUCAACAUUAUUCAGCAAGAAUGAAAAGGCUAUGGGGCUCAGAAUAUACCUUUCAAUGUAGUGUAAUUUCAGUUAAAACAUUAAUUUUGGACUCUUCUUAUGUUCAACUAAAUAGUAUUAAACUAUUUUGCUAUACAAAUGAAUAAAGUCUAGAGUUGUUAUCACAAGAAGUUUUUAAUAUGGUUUGUGACAAGCAAUAUCAAAGUUAUCAACUCUCAAGCUUCAUGUUCUGAAACCAGACAACUCUCAGCAACAAAAAAAGUUGUGCACUGAUAAACAUAGGAGGCAUAUUGUAUUUUUUAAUUAAAUAUGAAAACAUGAGCUGUGUACAUUAUUUUUUCCCUAGAAAACACAGCAAUUUCAAAAGUUUAUCAUAAAAUAUUUUCAUGAAAUGAGUGAACCAGCAAACACAUGCACUUGUGUGCCUUCCCCCCUCCCAAGAUAAACGUGAUAAGAGAGACAUACGCAAAUGUAAUAGUUAACAGAACAAGUGGAGUUUUGUCAUAGUUUGGUUCUUUUUGGAAAGGAUGGAAUGUAACAUUGUGCUUGACUUUCUAUGUCACAACAAAAAAUAUUUGGUGCAAUAUUUUAACAUUUUCUUUUUAAGUUUCAAUCUGGUGGAGAAAAAUACCUUUUUCUAUAAUAAAAUAUGUCUGUUCUUUUUAAAACGUAACUUUUUUGCACAA